rnacentral:rRNA from 1 species
CUGGCGGCAGGCCUAAUACAUGCAAGUCGAGCGCGCCCUUCGGGGUGAGCGGCGGACGGGUGAGUAACGCGUGGGAAUAUGCCCUUCUCUAAGGAAUAGCCUCUGGAAACGGAGAGUAAUACCUUAUACGCCCUUUGGGGGAAAGAUUUAUCGGAGAAGGAUUAGCCCGCGUUAGAUUAGGUAGUUGGUGGGGUAAUGGCCUACCAAGCCUACGAUCUAUAGCUGGUUUGAGAGGAUGAUCAGCCACACUGGGACUGAGACACGGCCCAGACUCCUACGGGAGGCAGCAGUAGGGAAUCUUAGACAAUGGGGGCAACCCUGAUCUAGCCAUGCCGCGUGUGUGAUGAAGGCCCUAGGGUCGUAAAGCACUUUCGCCAGAGAUGAUAAUGACAGUAUCUGGUAAAGAAACCCCGGCUAACUCCGUGCCAGCAGCCGCGGUAAUACGGAGGGGGUUAGCGUUGUUCGGAAUUACUGGGCGUAAAGCGCACGUAGGCGGAUUAGUAAGUUAGAGGUGAAAUCCCAGGGCUCAACCCUGGAACUGCCUUUAAUACUGCUAGUCUUGAGUUCGAGAGAGGUAAGUGGAAUUCCGAGUGUAGAGGUGAAAUUCGUAGAUAUUCGGAGGAACACCAGUGGCGAAGGCGGCUUACUGGCUCGAUACUGACGCUGAGGUGCGAAAGUGUGGGGAGCAAACAGGAUUAGAUACCCUGGUAGUCCACACCGUAAACGAUGAAUGCCAGACGUCAGCAAGUAUACUUGUUGGUGUCACACCUAACGGAUUAAGC